GCCUUGCAGCCUUGAGGCAUAAGGCGCAUAAGGCGUAAGCCUUACGUAUAAAUCACAUAUAUUCAUGUAAUUUCUACUCUUAUACAUACCACAUUAUGAUUCAACCAAAAGAACAUUACUAAUUGUCAUUCACUCACAAUAAAUGAAGUACUAGAAGCAUAUGAUUCAACAAAAUUACCAACAUAAAAUGAAAUCAAGGAUUUAAAGUUCAAACACCAAAGAUCAAGAAUAAAUGAGAACUAUAGUUAGAAGUUCAGGAGUUUCUUAGGCUUAUGCUUCUCAAGUAUGAGAUUGGUCAAUUAAUGUUGUAAUGCACUUAACUUAUUCAGAAACAAAGUUCAGUCAUUCUCAAUUCUAGGUAAAAGUACAACAAUUGUGAAAUUUAACAACUUCAAAUUGAUGUGCGAGUUUCUAACUUAAAGCGGGAACCAACAGAGAUAGAAUACAAAACUAACUUUCUCUCCAAGAAGCAAAUCAUACCUAUUUUAUGGUGGCAGUAUCCUGAAUACACCCCCAGACCAAUUAGCAGUUUCUCAAAUCUUAAAACUACUAGUAACUUUCUUUCAGGCUAACUCAUGGAACAAUGAAUUGCCGCAUUUCUUAUUUCUACAAGUUUAGAUAGCUCUACAAGCCUAAUGUUGAUAAAGAAAUGUAAACUAGAUAAGUGUGUGAUCCUAAUUCCUUCCUUUUAUCAACUGAAUAGAGGGUUAAGGCCUUCCUGCCAGAC